UAAGAAAGUAAAUAAGAUAUAUAUUUUUUUUUUGAGUUUAUGUGGCUGUCUCUAUUUUUAUUACGAAACAAAUAGUACAGCAAAUCCUUCAUUGCGCACAUGUUUGUGUUUGGCCGUUUGCCCCAUGUUGCUGAUAAGAAAUAUUUAUCUGUACAAUGUAUAACACGAUUUUUUAAACACAAACACCACAUGUAUAUAAAUAUAUGCACCGAAAUUUGGUGAAAAGAAGAUAAAAUUUCCUUAGAAUCAAACAACUUACGUGCGUGUUGAUGAAAAAAAUGCAGAUACUAAGCAACUCAACGUACAAGAGUGUGGAGCAUAGGGUGAUCGUGAACUCGGACAAAGAGAGAGUGUCACUUGCCUUCUUCUACAACCCUAAAAGC
rnacentral:lncRNA from 1 species